GAUGAACGCUAGCUACAGGCUUAACACAUGCAAGUCGAGGGGCAGCAGGAACAAAGCUUGCUUUGUUUGCUGGCGACCGGCGCACGGGUGAGUAACGCGUAUCCGACCUACCCAUAACACGGGCACAGCCGCUCGAAAGAGUGAUUGAUUCCCGAUAUGUUAUAUACGUAGAUUAUAUAAUGAAAGAUUUAUCGGUUAUGGAUGGGGAUGCGUAAGAUUAGGUAGUAGGCGGGGUGACGGCCCACCUAGCCGACGAUCUUUAGGGGUUCUGAGAGGAAGGUCCCCCACACUGGUACUGAGACACGGACCAGACUCCUACGGGAGGCAGCAGUGAGGAAUAUUGGUCAAUGGGCGGAAGCCUGAACCAGCCAAGUAGCGUGAAGGAUUACAGCCCUACGGGUUUUAAACUUCUUUUAUAUAAGAGUAAUGUGCACUACGUGUAGUGUAUUGCAAGUAUUAUAUGAAUAAGCAUCGGCUAACUCCGUGCCAGCAGCCGCUGUAACAC
rnacentral:rRNA from 1 species